rnacentral:rRNA from 1 species
GACGAACGCUGGCGGCGUGCUUAACACAUGCAAGUCGAACGGCAAGGCCCUGCUUUUGUGGGGUGCUCGAGUGGCGAACGGGUGAGUAACACGUGAGUAACCUGCCCUUGACUUUGGGAUAACUUCAGGAAACUGGGGCUAAUACCGGAUAGGAGCUCCUGCUGCAUGGUGGGGGUUGGAAAGUUUCGGCGGUUGGGGAUGGACUCGCGGCUUAUCAGCUUGUUGGUGGGGUAGUGGCUUACCAAGGCUUUGACGGGUAGCCGGCCUGAGAGGGUGACCGGCCACAUUGGGACUGAGAUACGGCCCAGACUCCUACGGGAGGCAGCAGUGGGGAAUAUUGCACAAUGGGCGGAAGCCUGAUGCAGCAACGCCGCGUGCGGGAUGACGGCCUUCGGGUUGUAAACCGCUUUCUCCUGUGACGAAGCGUGAGUGACGGUAAUGGGUAAAGAAGCACCGGCUAACUACGUG